rnacentral:lncRNA from 1 species
UAGUUUACAUUAUUUCAUCCCAAUUGCCUUUGAAGUCCAUAGCAGGACAUGUAACAUAUCUUCAAUCGUUUGGAUCGUCAACCUGUGGGUUAUGGGCCCACCUUGAUAUCGUUUGAAGUCCCGAUUAGCUUGAAGCGUCUUCGUCGAGGACUAACGUUCUAACUUACUCGCAGACAUUACCUCUAAUAGCUGGACUCAACUCCACAUACUCUCUAUCAUUCACUUCUCACCUAUCCACCUCUAUCUAUAAAUCUCUCCUUCUGAUUCAGUACAACUCAUACUCUACACUUACUCUUCAUAUCUUCACUCAAAACAAUAUACAUCUUCCAAAUAUCUGACAUGGUCAACAUACUAUGAACCAUGCAUUUAUAUCAUCCUCAAAUCAAUACAAUAAUCCAAUUUCAAAUAUGCAGUAUAGUCAGAAUACUCUGAACUCUGCAUUUUCACCAUUCUCAACUCAAUCAUUCACUAUCAAACUCUUCUAUAUUGGUCUAAUACUGAUCUUUCCCACGAUUCACCAUCUCAAUUAAUCAACAUACUAGAAAUCAUAUGUCUAAACUUAAGAAUCCUAAUCUCUUUAAGUAUCCACACUUAACUUGAUCAUCUAACUAAACUCUAUGCUUCACUCACAUCUCUAGACUAUUCCUAAAUAGUCCGACCAUACCUCUAUGU